rnacentral:rRNA from 1 species
GGGGCCCGACACAAGGCGGUGGAGCAUGUAGGUUUAAUUCGAAGCAACGCGAAGAACCUUACCAGGUCUUGACAUCCCGAUGCUAUUUCUAGAGAUAGAAAGUUACUUCGGUACAUCGGUGACAGGUGGUGCAUGGUUGUCGUCAGCUCGUGUCGUGAGAUGUUGGGUUAAGUCCCGCAACGAGCGCAACCCCUAUUGUUAGUUGCCAUCAUUCAGUUGGGCACUCUAGCGAGACUGCCGGUAAUAAACCGGAGGAAGUGGGAUGACGUCAAAUCAUCAUGCCCCUUAUGACCUGGGCUACACACGUGCUACAAUGGUUGGUACAACGAGUUGCGAGUCGGUGACGGCGAGCUAAUCUCUUAAAGCCAAUCUCAGUUCGGAUUGUAGGCUGCAACUCGCCUACAUGAAGUCGGAAUCGCUAGUAAUCGCGGAUCAGCAUGCCGCGGUCGAAUACGUUCCGGGCCUU